rnacentral:rRNA from 1 species
CCCAAACCCAUGUGAACUUACCACUGUUGCCUCGGCAGAUGUUGCUGGGCGAACCUACCCUGUAGCGAGCUACUCUGUAGCGACCUACCCGGGAACGGCUUACCCUGUAGCGAGCUACUCUGUAGCGACCUACCCGGGAACGGCUUACCCUGUAGCGCCUGCCGGUGGACUACUAAACUCUUGUUAUUUUUAAGUAAUCUGAGCGUCUUAUUUUAAUAAGUCAAAACUUUCAACAACGGAUCUCUUGGUUCUGGCAUCGAUGAAGAACGCAGCGAAAUGCGAUAAGUAAUGUGAAUUGCAGAAUUCAGUGAAUCAUCGAAUCUUUGAACGCACAUUGCGCCCAUUAGUAUUCUAGUGGGCAUGCCUGUUCGAGCGUCAUUUCAACCCUUAAGCCUAGCUUAGUAUUGGGAACUGGCUUUACUGCCAUUCCUCAAAUUCAACGGCGGAUUUAUAGCAAUCUCUGAACGUAGUAAUUUUUUUCUCGUUUUUGAAAUACUGUAAACCUCAGCCGCUAAACCCCCCAAUUUUUAAUGGUUGACCUCGGAUCAGGUAGGAAUACCCGCUGAACUUAAGCAUAUCAAUAAGCGGAGGAA